UAGGGAAUCUUCGGCAAUGGACGAAAGUCUGACCGAGCAACGCCGCGUGAGUGAUGAAGGUUUUCGGAUCGUAAAACUCUGUUGUUAGAGAAGAACAAGGACGUUAGUAACUGAACGUCCCCUGACGGUAUCUAACCAGAAAGCCACGGCUAACUACGUGCCAGCAGCCGCGGUAAUACGUAGGUGGCAAGCGUUGUCCGGAUUUAUUGGGCGUAAAGCGAGCGCAGGCGGUUUCUUAAGUCUGAUGUGAAAGCCCCCGGCUCAACCGGGGAGGGUCAUUGGAAACUGGGAGACUUGAGUGCAGAAGAGGAGAGUGGAAUUCCAUGUGUAGCGGUGAAAUGCGUAGAUAUAUGGAGGAACACCAGUGGCGAAGGCGGCUCUCUGGUCUGUAACUGACGCUGAGGCUCGAAAGCGUGGGGAGCAAACAGG
rnacentral:rRNA from 1 species